rnacentral:rRNA from 1 species
CCUUCGGGGGGCCGCCGGGAGGAAUAUUGCGCAAUGGACGAAAGUCUGACGCAGCCAUGCCGCGUGCAGGAUGACGGCGCUACGCGUGUGUAAACUGCUUUUAUUUACAAAGAAACCUCGGGACGUGUCCCGAGCUGACGGUAGUAUUUGAAUAAGCACCGGCUAACUC